rnacentral:tRNA from 1 species
AAUAUUUUAAUUUAAAUUAUAAAAUAAUAAUUUUGUAAAUUAUUUAUA